rnacentral:rRNA from 1 species
GCAUGGUCGUGUUUGGAAAGAUUUUUCGGUCUGGGAUGGGCUCGCGGCCUAUCAGCUUGUUGGUGAGGUAAUGGCUCACCAAGGCGUCGACGGGUAGCCGGCCUGAGAGGGUGACCGGCCACACUGGGACUGAGACACGGCCCAGACUCCUACGGGAGGCAGCAGUGGGGAAUAUUGCACAAUGGGCGGAAGCCUGAUGCAGCAACGCCGCGUGAGGGAUGACGGCCUUCGGGUUGUAAACCUCUUUUAGCAGGGAAGAAGCGAAAGUGACGGUACCUGCAGAAAAAGCGCCGGCUAACUACGUGCCAGCAGCCGCGGUAAUACGUAGGGCGCAAGCGUUAUCCGGAAUUAUUGGGCGUAAAGAGCUCGUAGGCGGUUUGUCGCGUCUGCUGUGAAAUCCCGAGGCUCAACCUCGGGCCUGCAGUGGGUACGGGCAGACUAGAGUGCGGUAGGGGAGAUUGGAAUUCCUGGUGUAGCGGUGGAAUGCGCAGAUAUCAGGAGGAACACCGAUGGCGAAGGCAGAUCUCUGGGCCGUAACUGACGCUGAGGAGCGAAAGGGUGGGGAGCAAACAGGCUUAGAUACCCUGGUAGUCCACCCCGUAAACGUUGGGAACUAGUUGUGGGGACCAUUCCACGGUUUCCGUGACGCAGCU